rnacentral:tRNA from 1 species
GUGGCCUUGGUGUAGUGGCAGCACAAGGGUCUGUGGCACCCUUAGGGGGAGUUCGAAUCUCCUAGGCCACC